GUGCCAGCCGCCGCGGUAAGACGAACCGUGCAAACGUUGUUCGGAAUCACUGGGCUUAAAGGGCGCGUAGGCGGCUGACCAAGUCCGGGGUGAAAUCCUGCAGCUUAACUGUAGAAGUGCCUUGGAUACUGGUUGGCUCGAGGGAGAUAGGGGUCUGUGGAACUGCUGGUGGAGCGGUGAAAUGCGUUGAUAUCAGCAGGAACGCCGGUGGCGAAAGCGACGGACUGGAUCUUUUCUGACGCUGAGGCGCGAAAGCUAGGGGAGCAAACGGGAUUAGAUACCCUUGUAGUCC
rnacentral:rRNA from 1 species